GGGGAGCGGUGUGCGUGGUGCCCGUCUGCGUUUAGUACGGUCUUCAGUUUGUGUUUUGCAAACUGCAGGACUGUGCUCACACCACACCUGCAGCCACAGAGCCACUGGAGAUCAUAGUACUGGUCUAGUGAUGUCUCUGACAUUCUACCACUGACCAGCCUCCAUACUCUCCUACAAAA